rnacentral:rRNA from 1 species
GCCCCAGUAACGGCGAGUGAAGCGGCAUGAGCUCAAAUUUGAAAUCUGGGGCCCUCGGCCCCCGAGUUGUAAUUUGGAGAGGCAUCUUCGGAGGGGAGCGCCGGCCCAUGUUCCUUGGAACAGGACGUCGCAGAGGGUGAGAAUCCCGUGCCAGGCCGGCAGCCUCCCCUCGAGUGAAGGGCCUUCGACGAGUCGAGUUGUUUGGGAAUGCAGCUCCAAGUGGGUGGUAUAUUUCAUCUAAAGCUAAAUACCGGCGGGAGACCGAUAGCGCACAAGUAGAGUGAUCGAAAGAUGAAAAGCACUUUGAAAAUAGAGUCAAAAAGUACGUGAAAUUGUUGAAAGGGAAGCGCUUGAGACCAGACUCAGACCCGAGCAAACACCGCGCCCCUCGGGGCCGUGCAAUUGCCAGGGGCUGGGCCAGCAUCAGUUGGCGUGGCGGGACAAAGGCGCGGGCAAUGUGGCUCCCCUCGGGGAGUGUUAUUAGGCCCACGCUCAAUGCCGCCGACGUCGACUGAGGACCGCGCCUCGGCUAGGAUGCUGGCUUAAUGGCCUUCAGCGACCCGUCUUGAAACACGGACCAAGGAGUCUAACAUCUAUGCGAGUGUUUGGGCGUCAAACCCUUGCGCGUAAUGAAAGUGAGCGGAGGUGGGAACCCCUCGCGGGGCGCACCAUCGACCGAUCCUGAUGUCUUCG